AUGUACCUCAUGUUCGACCCAACGGUGUCGUUGCACUACGACGUGCUAUGCUUCCCUAACGUGCCUGAAAGGCCGACGCCACCAGAUCAGUCUCCCAAGAGACAUUGCAAGGAGGGAUCAUCAUGGACGAGAGUGUACACUUUUAGGGAUUUUGCCAAAUUGCCGCCAUCUUUGAAAUCAGAAUAUCGGGACGAGGUGAACACACUGCGGAGUAAAAAGAAAUCCAGUGGGUAUUUUGGAAAAUCGAAGCAGAGGAUCUACUACACCGCUGUCAACGGGUACCAAAUUUUGGUAUGGGUAUUACAAGAGGCAUCAGAGACAUGUCAAACCCUAGAGUGGGCGCUAAGGCAUCAAAAUGACCUUGAGCAUGAUUUUCAGCAACACUAUAACCGACACCUUAUAGGAGAUGAGAUUGGCAAGUCUUGGACAUUGGAUCCCUGUAUGGAAGAAUCAAGUGACAAAGGGGACAAUGGAUGGGACUCUAGUGAUGACAGCGUCACUGAUGCAGGAGAAGAAGGGAUCAACGCACCGGCCGACGGAAGGCCAGGUCGACGGCAAGCGCGUGAGCGAGGAGGCCGUAGCGGCCAUGGUUGCGCGAACCCCAACUUCGUCGCGGAGCAGCGUGCAAUCUACGAGGCCGUCCGUGCUCUAAAGCCGCCGCUCGCCACGAAGCGGUCGUCACGGAGGCGCAGGACGCCAGCCUGCACCCCUAUUGCUGCUCUCUCUCUCUCCCUCGUGCAUGUAUACUCAAGUGGGCAAAGGGAACAACGGCUCGCGAGGGGAUCAAUCGGUCCACCGCUGCCUAGCAGCAUCCUAAUUUUCCCAAUUUAA
rnacentral:rRNA from 1 species